GACGAACGCUGGCGGCGUGCUUAACACAUGCAAGUCGAACGGGAACCUUUAUUUCGGUAAGGGUGAGAGUGGCAAACGGGUGAGUAACACGUAGGCAACCUGCCGACAGGAUGGGGACAACAUUCCGAAAGGAAUGCUAAUACCGAAUGGAGUCCGGGGAUGGCAUCAUCUCCGGAUAAAAGAUGGCCUCUGAAUAUGCUAUCGCCUGUCGAUGGGCCUGCGUCUGAUUAGCCGGUUGGCGGGGUAACGGCCCACCAAAGCGACGAUCAGUAGCCGGUCUGAGAGGAUGAACGGCCACAUUGGGACUGAGACACGGCCCAGACUCCUACGGGAGGGCAGCAGUGGGGAAUCUUUCCCACAAUGGGCGAAAAGCCCUGAUGGAGCAAACCGCCGCGUGAAGU
rnacentral:rRNA from 1 species